AUUGAACGCUGGCGGCAGGCCUAACACAUGCAAGUCGAGCGAGAAAGCCCUUCGGGGUGAGUACAGCGGCGGACGGGUGAGUAACGCGUAGGAAUCUACCCAGUAGUGGGGGACAACUUGGGGAAACCCAAGCUAAUACCGCAUACGCCCUACGGGGGAAAGCGGGGGAUCUUCGGACCUCGCGCUAUUGGAUGAGCCUGCGUCGGAUUAGCUAGUUGGUGGGGUAAAGGCCCACCAAGGCGACGAUCCGUAGCUGGUCUGAGAGGAUGAUCAGCCACACUGGGACUGAGACACGGCCCAGACUCCUACGGGAGGCAGCAGUGGGGAAUAUUGCGCAAUGGGGGCAACCCUGACGCAGCCAUGCCGCGUGUGUGAAGAAGGCCCUAGGGUUGUAAAGCACUUUCAAAAGCGAGGAAAAGCUCAUGCUUAAUACGUAUGAGCCCUGACGUUAACUUUAGAAGAAGCACCGGCUAACUCCGUGCCAGCCGCCGCGUAACAC
rnacentral:rRNA from 1 species